CGAUCCCAGCGGAGUGGUUAACGCGCAGCCCUGCUAAGGCUGUCUCUUCGGAGGCGUGUGUUCGAAUCACACAGGUGUCGA
rnacentral:tRNA from 1 species